CGUUGCCUACGGGAGGCAGCAGUGGGGAAUAUUGCACAAUGGGGGAAACCCUGAUGCAGCGACGCCGCGUGAAAGAAGAAGUAUUUCGGUAUGUAAACUUCUAUCAGCAGGGAAGAAAAUGACGGUACCUGACUAAGAAGCCCCGGCUAACUACGUGCCAGCAGCCGCGGUAAUACGUAGGGGGCAAGCGUUAUCCGGAUUUACUGGGUGUAAAGGGAGCGUAGGCGGCGAUGCAAGUCAGAAGUGAAAGCCCGGGGCUCAACUCCGGGACUGCCUUUGAAACUGUGUUGCUAGAUUGCAGUAGG
rnacentral:rRNA from 1 species